rnacentral:rRNA from 1 species
AUACGUAGGUGACAAGCGUUAUCCGGAUUUACUGGGCGUAAAGGGCGUGUAGGCGGUCUUGCAAGUCAGAAGUGAAAUUCCUGAGCUCAACUCGGGCGCUGCUUCUGAAACUGCAGGACUUGAGUGCUGGAGGGGAUAGCGGAAUUCCUAGUGGAGCGGUAAAAUGCGCAGAUAUUAGGAAGAACACCGGUGGCGAAGGCGGCUAUCUGGACAGUAACUGACGCUGAGGCGCGAAAGUGUGGGGAGCAAACAGGAUUAGAUACCCUGGUAGUCCACACUGUAAACGAUGAAUGCUAGGUGUAGGGGGUAUCGACCCUUCUGUGCCGCAGUUAACACAAUAAGCAUUCCGCCUGGGGAGUACGGCCGCAAGACUAAAACUUAAAGGAAUUGACGGGG